GAUGAACGCUGGCGGCGUGCCUAAUACAUGCAAGUCGAGCGAACGGACGAGAAGCUUGCUUUUCUGAUGUUAGCGGCGGACGGGUGAGUAACACGUGGAUAACCUACCUAUAAGACUGGGAUAACUUCGGGAAACCGGAGCUAAUACCGGAUAAUAUUUUGAACCGCAUGGUUCAAAAGUGAAAGACGGUCUUGCUGUCACUUAUAGAUGGAUCCGCGCUGCAUUAGCUAGUUGGUAAGGUAACGCCUUACCAAGGCAACGAAGCAUAGCCGACCUGAGAGGGUGAGCGGCCACAGUGGAACUGAGAGACGGACCAGACUCCUAGGGGAGGCAGCAGGAGGUAAUCUUCCGCAAUGGGCGAACGCCUGACGGAGCAACGCCGCGUGAGUGAUGAAGGUCUUCGGAUCGUAAAACUCUGUUAGUAGAGAAGAACAUAUGUGUAAGUAACUGUGCACAUCUUGACGGUACCUAAUCAGAAAGCCGCGGCUAACUACG
rnacentral:rRNA from 1 species